rnacentral:lncRNA from 1 species
AUUUUACACCACUGCUACUCUCUGUUGUUAUCAUCUAUGCAUAGUCACUUUAAUAACUCUACCUACAUGUACAUAUUGCCUCAACUAACCGGUGCCCCCGCACAUUGACUCUGUACCGGUACCCCCCUGUAUAUAGUCUCGCUAUUGUUAUUUUACUGCUGCUCUUUAAUUAUUUGUUAUUUUUAUUUCUUACUCUUAUCCAUAUUUUUACUGCGUUGUUGGUUAGGGGCUCGUAAGUAAGCAUUUCACUGUAAGGUCUACACCUGUUGUAUUCGGUGCAUGUUACUAAUACAAUUUGAUUUGAUUUAUGCAUUCGGGCAGAAAGUGUUCUUCUGGCACCACCAAACCCAGAUUCGUCCGUCGGAUUGCCCAAUGGUGAAGCGUGAUUUAUCACUCCAGAGAACGUAUUUCCACUGCUCCAGAGUCCAAUGACGUCAGUAAGAGGAAGGGAGCCGAAUCACCUACACCCAGCCUGUUAUCAAUGAAGAUUGACAAGUCAAUGUUUCAACCACCUGAAUUCAGCAGGGAACCUCUGAGAGGUUUGAGAUGAUGAUGGAGAGUUUUGGUAAUGAGUCUGCUUUAGACCCUCUGGACAUAAAAGGUCGUUGCUGUAAAUGAGAAUGUGUUCUCAGUCAACUUACCUGGUAAAAUAACGGUAAAAUAAAAUAAAAAUAAAUCCAAAUUGGAAGCCAAACUCUCUAUGAAAGGACAUCUACACAGAGCUCUACAUCACAGAAAGUGGAGGGGUUGAUAAUGAACAUGAGGUGAGACUGAUAGAGAUGGCAUCCAAGAUACUCACAACACAAGAGUUAACAAUCAAAUGCAAUGACAUCUUCAAGCCUUUCCCUGCACAACAGAAAUGUGUUUACAAAAGGAAUUGCUGGCAUUGGAAAAACAGUCUCUGUGCAGAAGUUAAUCCUUGACUGAGCAGAGGGAAAGGCCAAUCAGGAUGUUCAUUUCAUGUUUCCUCUUCUUUUCCGUGAUCUUAAUCUGAAAACGGGAAAAUAUAGUCUGAUGCAAUUUCUGUCCUUCUCCUUCCCAGAGCUGAAAGAGAUUGAAAGAAUUGAGUCAAAAUAAAUCAUUUUUGAUGGUCUGGAUGAGUGUCGCCUUCCUCUAGAUUUCCAGAACAACAAGGACCUGUCUGACAUCACAGUGCCAACUUCAGUGGAUGUGCUGCUGACACACCUCAUUAAGGGGAGUUUGCUUCACCCAGCUCUCCUCUGGAUUACCUCCAGACCUGCAGCAGCCAAGCAGAUGUCUUCAAAGUCUGUUGUCCAGGUGACAGAGACUGGAUGACUGUGAACUCACAUAUGGAUCCAGUGAGACUCCUUCCUUAGACUCUGGUCUCAGCUCUGCAGACACCAAACUCCUCCCUGAGAGAGAUGGACCUCAUCUACAAUGAAGUGGAGGACAGAGGAGGGCAUCUGCUCUGUGUUGGACUGACUAGACCAUUCUGCAAAAUACAAAGAUGUCCUACGCCAGCGUGGUCUGACAGAGGGUUGAAGUUCAGAUCUGGCUUUAGUCCUGCGGUCACCCAACUCACAACUGAAACAGCUGGAGCUGAGAGACAACGAUCUGCAGGACUCAAGAGUGGCAUUGCUCUGUUCUGGGCUAAAGGGUCCUAACUGUAGACUACACACACUGGGGGAGAGAUGGUUCCAGUUUGGAUUAGGAGGACCAGACACUGGUCUAUACAAUGAAAACUGUUGACACAGCAGUUGCUGUCUGCUAUGUUUUAUAGAUAUCUUUCAUACAAAACUUACCCAUGUGACCCAUUCUAUGUAUCUGUGAUUCGUCAUGUACGUUGAGAGGGGUGUAUCUUGGC